CAUGAUACUUUCUAGUUUCCUUUAGGGUUUUGUUUAGCGUUGUCAUUAAUUUUGCCUUUUGUUUUGUACUUAUUCAUCAUCCACAAUAAAUAUAUCGCUUUCUGUUAAAAGUUUUAGUUUUGCAUUUGGGUCCUCUUCCUCACUCCAUACUCUUGGCGAAGGCAGUCACACUUUUCUCCUCUCCCUUCAUUUAUCUUCCCUGCCUAGCUUCUUGUGUCCUUGUCUAGUCUUGUGUAUUUUCCUGUUGCUUGUCAUGUGUUUCUAUGGUGUAUUAAGAGUUUUUCCAUGUUCACUCACCAUUUUCUGUUCUCAAACUGAUCUCCCUGUUGGAGUUCAGUCUGGGGGGAGUUCUUUUUUUCUCCUUGUCUUUCCUGAUGUUGUUUAUUUUCUAUUGUUCGGUUCCAGGUUGCUGCUCCUGUGGAUGACCGACGAGCUACCUAGCCUGACCUGUCUCCCCAAUGUGAUGUUUGUGUAUUGUAUGUACGGUCAGCAAGGUCAGUCUCUCAAUUGACACUCAGGGAUAAAUAAAGUCUUCUGAAUCUGAGUACAGUCUGCCUCAGCCAGACUGUGACACGUCCUUCAUGUACCCAGCACAUUUGUUAGCACCUCAGGCACUGAUCAUGUAUGAUGUAUUUGGAUGCAUGAUGUAAACUUUAACUUUCUAGCUGACUCAGUUGUGCCAGCAGGAAAGUGGGUCAAUAAACCAGCAUCCUGUGGUUUCUCAUGCAGGAUUACAGGAGCCAGACUUUGUUCAGACAGCGCUUUAGAACACAAGCAGCAAGUCAGGCGAUCACCCGAGUGAGCUUCCCUUGGUACUUCGUUUCCCAUUUUUGAUCUUUUCAGCCAGGAUGUGCUGGUUUUCUAGACAAAAAAGAUGCAGGAUGACUUAAUGAUCGCAGACUCUUCUUGAAGGACAUAAAAAAA